rnacentral:rRNA from 1 species
UACGGAGGGGGCAAGCGUUGUUCGGAAUUACUGGGCGUAAAGGGCGCGUAGGCGGCCUGUUAAGUCGAACGUGAAAUCCCCGGGCUCAACCCGGGAACUGCGUCCGAUACUGGCAGGCUUGAAUCCGGGAGAGGGAUGCGGAAUUCCAGGUGUAGCGGUGAAAUGCGUAGAUAUCUGGAGGAACACCGGUGGCGAAGGCGGCAUCCUGGACCGGCAUUGACGCUGAGGCGCGAAAGCCAGGGGAGCAAACGGG